CGUAGGAGGCGGCGCAACAGCGGGCCGUCGUCACCGGGGCCGGUCAGCGGCUGUGGGCGCCACGGCGGCGGGAUUGGGUUCGCAGCGAAGCUGGAUGGCAUCUCUACCAAUGCAAGAUUUGAGUGCAAGGACUGAAGCACAAUCAACCAAAAGACACAGAAAACUUCUGCCCAGUCUGAAGACAAAAAGAGCUGAAGAUUUGGUGCUUGUGAUUGGAACAGGAGUCAGUGCUGCUGUCGCCCCACAGGUCCCUGCUCUAAAGUCCUGGAAAGGACUAAUCCAGGCCCUGCUGGAUGCUGCAAAUGAUUUUGACCUCUUAGAGGAUGAAGAGAACAAAAGAUUUGAAAAAUCCCUCCGUGAAGAUAAGAACCUCGUGCAUGUUGCGCACGACUUGAUACAGAAGCUCUCACCACGUACCAGUAGUGUUCGUUCGAGUUUCUUCAAGGACUGUUUGUAUGAAGUUUUUGAUGACCUUGAAUCCAAGAUGGAUGAUGUUGGAAAGCACCUCUUACAAUCUGUUUUGAAGCUGAUGCAGAAUGGAUCUCUGGUUUUAACCACUAACUUCGACAAUCUUGUGGAAAUUUACGGGUCUCACCAAGGAACCAAACUGGAGUCAUUAGACCUCACAGAUGAAAAGAAGGUAUUAGAAUGGGCACAGGAGAAACGGAAGAUGAGUGUUUUACACAUCCAUGGUGUUUACACUAAUCCCAGUGGGAUCGUUCUACAUCCUUUGGGUUACCAGAAUGUGUUGCGUAAUACAGAAGUAAUGAGAGAAAUUCAGAAGCUAUAUGAAAACAAAGCCUUUGUCUUCCUUGGUUGUGGACGGACAGUUGAGGACACAACAUUCCAGUCACUCUUUCUAGAAGCAGUAAGGAAUAAGUCAGACCUGGAGCACUUCAUGCUGGUGCGUAGAGAUGAUGUGGAUGAGUUUAAAAAGCUUCGUGAAAAUAUGCUAGACAAAGGUAUUAAAGUGAUCUCUUACGGGGAUGAGUACUACGAUCUCCCAGAAUACCUUGAACGCCUGGCUAACGUCAUCUGUCAUCGUGGAAGUCAAGGUCACCCUUCAGCCUCUGACGCCCCAGAGCAAGCAAUCCAAGUUUGUCUAACAUCUUAUAGCUCAUGCCCUCUAAUCCAGGCAACAUCCUGGUGAACCUCUUCUGCACCCUCUCCAAAGACUCCACAUCCUUCCUGUAAUGUGGUGACCAGAAUUACGCACAAUACUUCCAAGCGUGGCCUACCCAAAGUUGUAUAAAGCUGCAACGUGACUCUCCGACUUUCAUAGCACCCCGAGCGAUGAAGUUAAGUAUGCCGUAUGCCUUCGUUACCAUCCUAUCUACUUGUGUUGCCAUUUUCAGGGAGCUGUGGACUUGUACCCCAAGACCCCUCUCUACUUCAAUGCUCCUAAGGGCCCUGCCGCUUGUGGAAAACUUUCCUCUUAUAAGUGCAACGCAUCACACUUAUCCCGAUUAAGCUUCAUCUGCCGUUUCUCUGCCCACGAUUUCUACUGGUCUGAAUCCCACUGAUUCCUUUGACAACCUUCCUCACUAUCCACAGCUCUAGCAAGUUUGCAGAUGACACAAAAAUUGGCAAUCAGCCCACCCACAUUUUUGUCCAAAUCAUUUGUGUAUCACAAACAACCGAGAUCCCAGUAUUGGUCCUUGGGGAACACCACUGGUCACAGACCUCCAGUCAGAAUAACACCCCUCCGUCUUCUAUGACCAAGCCAAUAUUGAAUUCAAAUUACCAAGUCUCUGUGGAUCCCCUGUGUCUUAAUCUUCUCAGUUAGGUCCCAUGAGAGACUUUGUUGAAAACUUUAGUAAAGUCCAUGUAUACAACAUCCAGUGCCCGACCCUCAUCGGUCAUUUUCGUCACCACCUCAAAAAAAAAUUAGUCAAGUUUGGAAGAUAUGACCUCCCCUGAACAAAGCCAUGCUGACUGUCCUAAAUAAGCAUGUGCUUUUUCAUAUACAAGUAGAUCCAAUCUCUAAGAAUCUUCUCCAAUAAUCUCCACACCACUGAUGUAAGGCUCUAUUGCCCUUCUUAAAAAGAGGAACAGCAUCAUUGAUUCUCCACUCCUCUGAGACCAUACCCAUGACUAAAGAGAAUAGAAAGAUCUCUGUUAAGGCCCCAGCAAUCUCCUCUUUUGCCUCUCAAUAACCUGGGAUAGUUCUCAUGAGGCCCUGGGGACUCAUCCACCUUAUUGUUCUUCAAGAGCCCCAACAUUACCAUCACCUUGAUAUCAAUAUGCCCUAGAAUAUCAGCGUACCCCUCCCUGAUCUUGCUAUCCUCCAUGCCUUUCUCCUUGGUUAAUACUGAUGUGAAGUACCCAAGUCCUCACCCACUCCCUCUGACUUCUGGCAUAACUUCCCUCCUUUGUACUUGAAACGGUCCUACCCUCUCCCUAGUUACCCUCUUGUUCCUAAUGUAUGUAUGAAAUACCUUGGGAUUCUCUUUAAUCCUACUCACCAAAGACAUUUCAUGGCCCCUUUUGGUCCUACUUAUUCCCUUUUUAAGUUCCUUCCUGUUUCCUUUAUAUUCCACAGAGGCCCUGUCCGAUUUCAGCUUCCUAAAACCUUGUAUAUGCUUCCAUAGCGAUUGGUUUCCAUAAUAAACAAAAUACAUUAAUCUCUGUCUUGAAAAUAUGCAACAACUUGUAUCCACAGCUCUUGGGGAAAGAAUUCCAAAGAUUCUCCACUGCCUGGGUAAAGAAAUUUCCCAUCUCAGUCAACCCUAACCGGAGGAAGCAUCAUCCCUGAAUAUACCAUGCCAAGCCCCAUAAGAAUUUUGUAUGUUUCCAUGUGAUCACAUCUCAUUCUUCUAGGCUCUGUCUGCUUAAUCUCUCCAACCAGAAAAGAUCUGUCCUCCACCUCAGAAUCAAAUCUGGUGAACCUUCAUUGUGCUCCCUCUAUCUCAAGUACAUUUUCUUUAGAUAAGAUCACCAUGGUGACAUUUCACCAGAGUUCUGUGUAAUUUCAGUAAGACCUCUUGAUUCUUGUACUUGAAUCCUCUUGCUAUAAAGGAUUCAUUUGCCAUUUGUAAUUGGUUGCUGUUACCUGAAUUUUGAUUUUUAGUGAUUUGUAUACAAGGGGACACGGUUCUCUCUCAACACCAACUUGUUUCAAAGCUUCAGCUUUGCCACUGAAAACAAAAUACUGUCCUUUCAAAGUGAAUGACUUUCUAUCGUAUUCUAUCUGCCCUGUCCUUUCACAUUCACUUCACCUGUUUGUUUCCCCUUGAAGCUUCUCUGCGUCAGCCUCACAACCCACGCUACCAUCCAGCUUUGUAUCAUCAACAAACUUGCAUAUUUUAGACUUGGUCCCCUCAUCCAAAUCUAGAUUACGAAUACCUGGAGCCCCACAUGUUACAGCCUCCCCACCUGAAAAUGAUGGCUUUGUUAUUAUUCUGUUUUCUGUCAGUUAACUAAUCUAUGAAUGUAUUCACCUAGAGGAUAGGAAAGUUACUGGUUCUGUCUGCAGUUAUAGUCCAUCCCAAAUGUUUCCAUACUGAGAAAGCAGUUAAGAAUCUGCUACAUUGGUGGAUGUAACAUCACUUGUAGGCCAGGCUGGGUAAGCAGAAUUUCUUCCCUGAAGUACAUCAAUGAACCAGGUGGAUUUUUUUUGAACAAACUGGUAGGUUCAUGGGUACAGUUAUUGCAAUUAACUUUUCAAUUCUAAACAAUUAACUGCAUGAAUUUAGUGCCCAGUUGCCACGGUGGCAUUCAUCUGUGCUCACUAAAUAUAUUAUAUUUUGGAAGGAAUUUUAGAUGCAGGAAACUAUUGCCUUGUUUGUGUUUUAUCAAUAUAGAACCUUUCCAAUUCUCAGCUCUGGGAGCAUCCAACAUUGACAUAACAUUAAAGAAUGGUCCAUUUACAGCAAGUAGUCAAGGCCAAAGAAUGGAAACAGAUGAUGACAUAAAACUAGGGAGAUGAGUGCUUGCUUACUUUUAAGAUUGUUGAAGCACAACCCACCAGGAAUGCACAGUAACUGACAGCCACCCAGGAGGCCAACAAUUGUUACUAUAACUGACAUGGAAAACAUACGGUGGAUGUUGUUCCACUUCAGAACUGUACUGAAACACUCCUAGAUUGCAUGUUAAACUUCAACUUGACUUUGUUUUUCGCUCAGUGAGCUAGAUUUUUUGGACAGCAUCAAUGACUUCUACCAGCUGAGACAACUCUUGCAAUUCUACAGUUCAUUUUGAUGUAGCAAUUUUGUACUGUUAAAGUGACUUCUGUACAGAAUAUUUUAUUAAAA